AUACAGGCCUUUAGAUCAUAAUUUGCAUGCAAUAAGAUAUGGAGUGAGUCUACUUGGUUUAACUAAGCAGAGCACUUGACAAUUUUGUAGGUAGUUAGUGGUUUCUCUGGCUAGAAGUUGGUUUCUUUCUCUGGUCGGAAAAGCUUUCCAUCAGUGCGGUUGCACGCCUCCAGAUUUGCUGUGCUAAAUCAAGGCAUGAUGGUCAAGCUCCCUCUUUUCCAGAAUUUUACAAGGAAACCCACUAC